GCGUCUGCAGAACUUUGAUGCACAGUCUCUCCUCGUUUUCCUCCACCAGCUGCUUUGGAAGAGCAGCUCAGGCCGAUGCAGCACGUCCACCAGAACGGACAACUCAGCCUGGACCAACGGACGCAGACGGUCCUCGAGAGCUGACACAAUGUCCUACAGUGCAGAAAAAGACACGACCUAACUACUUGAACCAUUUGACACACAACAGGAAUCUGUAGGAGCUCCAGGACCACAGCGUGCGCCCCCAUGUUCCUGAGCAGCCUCUGCUGCUGUUUCUUGCUCUUCCUACCCGACAAACCUUCUUGGACACACAGCCUGCUGAGCCGCAGCAGGAUCUGAUAAAAAAGGAAAAUAGGAGAAGCGGUAGCUGUAAACUGCAUACCUGCUUAAAAGCCUGCAAGACCUCCUGCCUUUGGCUGAAGUGCCUAAAGAGCAGGUGGA